ensembl:lncRNA
CGCCAACGGCCCCGCCCGCGCCGCCCCCGCGCGCUCGCGACCCCGGGAGGCCUGGCUCUCGCUCGCGGGGGUCUCGGCGAGUGGCUUGCGUGAGCUCGGCCCUGCCCUUCCCCGGACUGCCGCGCAGCAGGGAGGUCCCAGGUUGCGCCCCGAAACUGCCAAGCCCCGAGCGGGCCGCGCCCCGAUCUGGGGUGAGUCCCGUGGCCCCCGCCCCUCUGUGAAUUCUGCGCCCCGCACGCCCCCAGGAGCUUCCCAUACAGGCUCGGUGUGGAGCUGGGCCGCCGCAGCGGGUGCCUGGCUGGGGACGGGCUGGCAGGGUCCCCGGGGGUCCGGGAAGCGGCCAUCACAUCCCAAUCACGUGGGAGGGGGGUCACCAGUUCUGCCACUCCAGCCACGUCCGCGUAGGCCCCUUCACUGCAGAAGGGGUGGUCACGGGGUUGGGUACCCCUGGACAUCAAUGGAGGUGGUGGUGUAAGUGAGUAUUGUGAUAUGCUGGUUUCCUUGGGGACACUGUAGGGAAACCGAGGCAAGGAAAGUCUCCCCACUUUCAGCAUGGUCUAGCCCCGCCCCCCGUAUGGGUCAGUUGGCGAGACUGCUCUCCAUUGAUUAUGAAGUCCAGGUCACACUGGCUUGGGGCACAGAACGCCUAGGCCUUUGUCCCCUCCAACAGGCGUGGGGGGCGGGCAUCCAUCGCUGCCCUUCACCCCGUAAGACGGCUCUGGGAAACCUGUCACCCUUAGCAGGGUCGUGGCCCUACCUUCCAGUGCUCCGUUUCAAUGGAUGCCUGGAGGGAAAGCUGGCACUGUAGCAAACCGUGUGGAAUAUAUUUGUAAGCUUCUGGAAUUGUUCAAUGUGGUGUUAAGCGGAGGGGUAGCAGUGAGGUGAGGUGAAGGUCACAGGGCACAGAGCUUGAUUCUAGCAGGUGGGGGUGUGCCAGCCCCCACACUGGCGCGCUCGGUCCUACAAGGUCAGCUCCCCAUCUGAGACGUGAACACGAGACUCCAGGGGACCAAACAGCCUGCCCUGCUCACCUGCGGACACAAACCCGUGCCAACACUCAGUCACCUUGUACAACAUCAGGCCUAGAAAGAAGGGCGUUGGGCCUGCGAGCACCCUGAUUGUAUACAGAGGUGGCUGUCCAAUGUGAGCAGCAGCACCCAUGAGGGGGACGCGGGGCUGAACCUCCAGAAACCCCAUCAUCAGCUAACAGUGAAGCCUCCACUUUUAGGUGGAGGGUGGGUGGGUCCCAGGUUGUGAGAGACGUGGGGAAAGUGGAAGGUUUCGGUAAGCCCUCUCACCUAGUGACCAUCUCUCACACGCCCAUGGCUACCCAGGAAGUACUGCAGGGGGGCCUGGCCUCAAACCCCGGCUUUCUCUAAGGACGCCUUUGUCUGCGUGUGUGCAGAAGGCGCUGCGAGCCAGCACGGAACGGCCUUGUAUGGCCGGGUUCCCUCUGACGCCGGCGGGGGCGCCUUGUCCCGCGGCGGGACCAAGGUGCGGCUCAGGUGUGCGGGUGGGGGCAGGGGUGACGGGCGGCGCGCGGCCAUAUUUGGCGAUUUGGACCCGCGCUCCGCCCGCCGCCGGGAGGCCAGUGGCCGCCCUGAGUCACGGGGGCGGACGUAACGGACGGGGCGCCUGGCCGCGCUCCUCGCCUUAUUUAGUCAAGCAGGCUACCCAUUGGCCCGCGGGACAAAGGCGGUCCCGGCCGGUGCGCGCGGAGACCCUCGGCUGUGCGCUUGGGCUCAGAGGCGCAGCCCUCCCAGGAGACGGUGGGGGAGGGGUAGCCCCGCCGGAGCGGAGCCGCAGCCCGGCCUCCUAACGCUGUGCACGGGAAGGAGGCGCUGUGAUUUGUCUUAUUUUGCAACUGGGCAGUGUGAGGCCUCGCCCAAGGUCAGGUCGGGGCCGUUCUUGCCUGCUAUGGAAGUUGGCAGCCCCACCCCUCUUGGAGCAGGAAUUGAGAAUGCCGGGCUUCUGUGAGCCUGCAGGCCAGGGGCAGCGAUUGCAGGUCCGCCAGAAGUGGGCGUGUCUCCCGUUGUAUAGAAAGACUCAGUCGAGAGAAAUGAAAAAAAAUUUCUUUCCUCUGCUGGCUUUGGUCAGUUUUUAUUGUGACGUCGAUGCAUCUUAUUUCACAUUCCAUUCAUUUGAUGAUAAGAAAACUGCAGCUGAAGAGGUGAAGCGUUAGGGAGAUUUAAUGCAGGCCGGCUCCACCCUUAACAUUCUCCCAGGCGUUCACAGGAACCUGUCAGUUCCUUCUCCCUGCGGCCACUUCGGAUAUUCCCCGGUCUCCUGGUCACCUCUGUACUUGGUACCCGAUUCUCCAGCAAUGCUCCACCCACCUAAGCACUUCCAAACCUACUUCCUCCAAAGUGGCUGACUGGCUUCUUGUUAGGCAAAUGCAACAAAAUUUUGCAUUUUGCCUCUACACUUGGUCUCUGCUAUUCCUGCUGGGUGGGGGGUUGUCAACCUAAUCUUGGAAAAGAAGAGACUGAAAAGGCUGUGAAGACUCAGGUCAGGUUUGGAAAAUAUACCAAGGUGAGCCUUGGUAAGGGUGAGCUAACAUUACAGUGUAAUGGGUGAACGCUUCUGAUGUCUUUGAAACUUUUCUAUAAGCCUAAAAGCCCAUAAUAAAAAGGGGAUGUAGAAGUCUGAGGAAACCAAAAUCUAAAUAUCCUGAGUCCAUGUUCCUGUCCAGGCCUCUUCGGACACAUCAUAUGCAAGUGGGGAUGUCUUGUCUGUCCAGUGCCAGGAGGCACAGGACUGGCCUUUCCAGUGGAAGGAAGGCAGUGAACUGAGGGUGAGACUGAGCCAGCCUCCGGUGGCAGAACCCAGGGCACAUUACAAACAGGAAGGUCAAGGUUCUGCUGGCCACACCACAUGAAACACAGAAUAUUGGGCAAUGGAGAGCCUCCCCGCCCUUGGGUCGGACAUCUGCCCAGCAUCUGCCCAUGCUGUCCCAGCAACUUAGUGCAUCUGUGUCAGACCAGAGGCUCUUCUAGGUAGGAUUUCCUGCCUGGGCCUUGGCCUGCUCUCAAGGAUCCGCUUGCCCCCAGCCAGCUGAGGCCCCAGAAAGAAUAAUUCAACCUCAGCCCAAGCCAUGGUGGCCCAAGCUGGGUGUGGUGGCCCGCACCUUUGAUUCCAUUACCACUGCAGCAGAGGAAGGCAGAUAGAUCUCUGUGAGUUCAAAGCCAGCCUAGUCUACACAGUGACUUCCAGAACUGCCCAGGCUACAUAGAGAAAACUGUCUCAAAAAAGAAAAUGGCUCUCCCCCAAGGGCCUUGCUCCCUGUUGUCCCCACAACAAACAGCUCCAUAGCCCGGUGAAGGGGGGGGGGGGUUGUCGUCUGGGUUGUCCCAGCUUGCACUAGCAGGCCACUGUGAUACUGUGCAGACCAUUCCCCUCCAAGUCUCUCGACACCUGCAUCCUCGGAGUCGAGUCCACCCACGCUCCACUUCGCCCAUUGGGUCAGCACUGGUAUAUAAGGCUGUCUUCAGAGGGCGCAGUUAGCCUCGGAAGAAAGGAAAACCAGUGGGGUGGGUGAGCAGGAGUGCAGGAAAGCCACCUCAAACUUCAGGCAGGAGGAAAGAGCCACCUGCUCCGGCUUUCCUUCCCCUUCCUGAGAUCUAAGCCUGGGGCGGAAUAGGAGAAUGCAGGACGAGUACUAUAAGCGCAGCGUCUCAGGUGGUCCGGCGCUGGGGCGGUGACCUGGGGGGUUCAAGCCUGAAUACAGGGCCCAGCAGAUGGCGCCCCUGGCAUAGGCCCUGCGGAAGGCAGAUCAGUGGCGGCCAGUGUCAUUCUCUUGUGGACCGCCAGGUGGGUCCUGCUCCUGCCACUUAGUGAGGAGGAGUGCAGCGCACCUGCGGUUCCAAGUCCUCCUCACCUCAAAGGCCAAGUGGGACCAAGAAACUCCUAACAAGGCAUGGCUAGGGCGGACCCCCGCUGAGUCAUCUCUGGUAGGGGAACCCAGGCAGGACUGUGGCCAAGCAGCGGGUGACCUCAGCUGGUGCUGACGCACGGGGAGAGGUGGGGCUGGAGCAGCCAGCACCCAGAACAACAGAUGAGGAAAGAACAGAUUCACUGCCAGAUAGAACCAGCCCGUCGGAUGUCCGGGAGCAAAUACUCUGAGAGACCCCAAAGUACAGACAAUGCAUGACUUGGUGUGUCUGUUUACUAUUAUAGGAGGUGUCACUGGGUCAUACCAUCACCGAGCCACCUAACUAUCAUUUCUGAGAAAAGGAAAAGGGUGGAUCUGAGUAGAGAAGUUAACUACAGGUGAUGAGGCUGCAGCAGGUAGCCAGUGCCAAGACGGAGAGAUGAGUCAGCAGUUGGGAGUUCCUCGAUGCUUUUCCGGAGGAUCUGAGUUUAACGGCCAUCACUCAUCCUGGGAGACGUACAACUAACUUCCUGUUACAACAGCUCUGGAUCUGAUGCCCAGCUCUGACUCAGGCACCUCUGCACAUACAGCACACACAUGCACGCACACACACCACAACCUUUUACAUGGAGAACAAGCCAGUGAGCAACACUCCACGACUUCUGCUUUGUUUUCUGCCCUUCAGGUUCCUUCCUUGAUCCCUGCCCUGACUUCUCUAAAUAAUGGCCUACAAGUUGUGAGAUGAAAUAAGUCCCUCCCUCCCCAAGUUGCUUUUGGUCAUUGUACCGGUUGGUUCUGUGUGUCAACUUGACACAAGCUGGAGUUAUCACAGAGCAAGGAGCCUCCCUUGAGGAAAUGCCUCCAUGAGACCCAGCUGUAAGGCAUUUUCUCAAUUAGUGAUCAAGGGGGGAGGACCCAGCCCAUUGUGGGUGGUGCCAUCCCUGGGCUAGUGGUCCUGGGUUCUUUAAGAGAGAAGGCUGAUCAAGCCAGGGGAAGGAAGCCAGUAAGUAACAUCCCUCCAUGGCCUCUGCAUCAGCUCCUGCUUCCUGACCUUCGUGAGUUCCUGUACUGACUUCCUUUGGUGAUGAACAGCAGUGUGGAAGUGUGAGCUGAAUAAACCCUUUCCUCCCCAACUUGCUUCUCAGUCCUGAUGUUUGUGCAGGAAUAGAAACCCUGACUACGACACUCAUGUUCUUUAUCACAGCAGUAAAAACCCAACUAAGACACAUGGAUUGCAGCAUAACAAGUGCCUAUCAUCCCAGCCCUUGGGAAGUGGAGAUACGGAGAGAUCCCUGGGGCUUGCUGACUAAACCAGCCUAUCUGAAUCACUGAGCUCCAGGUGAAAGGCCCUGUCUCAAAAGUAAUGUGGGAGCCGAGGAGCUGGCUCAUCAGGGAAGGCAUCUACUGUGAGCAAGUGAAAGUCUGUUGACCUGAGCUUGAUCCACAGAACCCACAUAGAGGUGGAAGGAGAGAACCGAGUCCACAAAGUUGUCCUCGGAUUUGCACAAAGGCAUAGGAAGUCAAUGAGUGAGUAAAUAACUUACAGGGAUGACGGAGUGCGAUCGAAAGGUACCCUUCACGAAAAGUUUACACACACUGAAAGUGGUGUGAGGAGGGUCAGGCGAGUUCUUGGAGGGUGUGCUGAGCUCUGCUGCUGUGUCUGGGCACGUCUGGGCCUAUGUGUGACUCGGAAUGGUAAGAUCAUCAGAGAUGAGCGCUAAGGCAGAGACUGCCUUGGCCCCCUCGUGUUGAAGGCUCACAGUUGUCCACUCAGGUAUGUGUGUAUCACCGUCUUGUCCUUAGUGAGUCCUACACAUUCUGGGAUUCAGUCUCAGAUGUCUGGUGUUUCCUCCUUCCCUGAGGUUUGAACUUUGAGGGAUCUGAGGGAUGGCCUAGUGGUCACAGACUUCCUGUGACACCUUCUGUUCCUCUUGGAGACACUUGACCUUAUGGAGCCUUGGAUUUUCUGACGUGACAGAACCCUGUGCUCUUCCUGGUCUCAGCUUGUGAGGCAUUAUGGUUUCACAAAUGAUGGGAGAUACCAUGGCUUGUGUUUGUGAAAGGCACUGGGGUGGUCACGGAGUGACACACGUGAGACGCUUCAGUCACUUUCCAUACCCUGAAGGCACUGGGGAUCAAUCCCAAGGGCCUCAUGACCAACAGGUAAAAAAAGGCUCUGUCACUGAAAGACAGCAACUCCAGAAACAGGUAUUUUAGCCAGGCCUGUCUUUACAUGCCUGUGAUUGCAACCGUGGGAGGCUGAGGCAGGAGGAUCUUGAGUUAGAGGCUAGCCUAUGCAACACAGAGAAAUCCUGUCUUCAAACAACAAAAAAG